AAAGGGUCCCAGUACUGGAAACAAAAUGCAAGAAAUAUUCUUGCUAUACAAGAACAGGCCUUCCAGGAGGUACAGGGCUCUAAAAGGAGGAGAAUGAGCCGAAAAGAUGAAGAUGCUGCUGGAAUUGGAGAGGUCACUGAGAAGAUAGAAGAGCUUGUACUGGCAUCACAGACCUUACCAGAUAUCACUGCAGCAAUCAGAGAGCUCACCAAUCUAGCUGCCACUCAAAGAGUGAUCCUGACUCCUUCCCAGCUACAGACCAUCAAGCAAGGAUUCUGCUGUGCUAUUUGAAUGAAAUUCAUCGAGGAGCCAGUCUUCACAGAGUGUUGCCGGAGCAUUAUUGGCUGCAAAACAUGUGUGGUACAGUGGCAGGAGACCUCUGUGCACUGUGCAAAAUGUAGAGGGAACACUGCAAACAACACCAUAUUUGAAAUUAAUGGUCUGUCAGAGACAUUUUCUGUCCUGAGAUCCCUUUUUGAAGAGGAGUAACAUGUUGAAUUUUUACACAAACAAAUGUAAAGUUAACAGUCUUCAAGUUAAAUAGAGCUAAUGGCUUUUCACACAUUGCGCUGAGUUGUGGUUAUAAGACAGAGCAAUGCCUGUUUGUAUGGGGCAAAGUCAUUGUUCACUGCUCUAGAGUACAAUUCUGGAAUGUCUGAAUAAUGCUCUGCAAACUGGUUCUCAACUGUAAUCUUGUCCUGUUCAGUUGAAAAUGGAUCAACUCCAAAAGUUGAAUGCCUGGUCAGUGAUGAUCCCAGCUGUUGGCUGUAAAGGUCUGCUGCUUCAGCUGAAUGAGGCAACAGCUCCUGUUGGAUUUUUUUGGGACACCCACGGCCAGCCAAGUCAUUUGGUGUUCCUUUACCUGUAAAAUAAAGUACAUACUGUUGGUAUUGAAACUUAUGAAUGCCUCUUGUAAUAAUUGUAAUCUUCGAAACAUGGUUUUAUUUCACCUGGAAUUCUAUGAGCAUUCCAUGACUCCGCCAGCCUUGUAAGACCAAUCUCACACAAGCGGCCAGUAAGGUUGGACACACAAUAUCUCACAAGGCUG